CACCACCGGCGGACGGCUCAGUAACACGUCGGUAACCUACCCUCGGGAGGGGGAUAACCCCGGGAAACUGGGGCUAAUUCCCCAUAGGCCUGAGGUACUGGAAGGUCCUCAGGCCGAAAGGGACUUAUGUCCGCCCGAGGAUGGGCCGGCGGCCGAUUAGGUAGUUGGUGGGGUAAUGGCCCACCAAGCCGAAGAUCGGUACGGGCUGUGAGAGCAGGAGCCCGGAGAUGGACACUGAGACGCGGGUCCAGGCCCUACGGGGCGCAGCAGGCGCGAAACCUCCGCAAUGCGGGAAACCGCGACGGGGGGACCCCGAGUGCCGUGGCAACGCCACGGCUUUUCCGGAGUGUAAAAAGCUCCGGGAAUAAGGGCUGGGCAAGGCCGGUGGCAGCCGCCGCGGUAAUACCGGCGGCCCGAGUGGUGGCCGCUAUUAUUGGGCCUAAAGCGUCCGUAGCCGGGCCCGUAAGUCCCUGGCGAAAUCCCACGGCUCAACCGUGGGGCUUGCUGGGGAUACUGCGGGUCUUGGGACCGGGAGAGGCGGGGGGUACCCCUGGGGUAGGGGUGAAAUCCUAUAAUCCCAGGGGGACCGCCAGUGGCGAA
rnacentral:rRNA from 1 species